AGAACGAACGCUGGCGGCAGGCCUAACACAUGUAAGUCGAACGCCGUAGCAAUACGGAGUGGCAGACGGGUGAGUAACACGUGGGAACAUACCCUUCGGUUCGGAAUAACUCAGGGAAACUUGAGCUAAUACCGGAUACGUCCGCGAGGAGAAAGAUUCAUCGCCGGAGGAUUGGCCCGCGUCUGAUUAGCUUGUUGGUGAGGUAAUGGCUCACCAAGGCGACGAUCAGUAGCUGGUCUGAGAGGAUGAUCAGCCACAUUGGGACUGAGACACGGCCCAAACUCCUACGGGAGGCAGCAGUGGGGAAUAUUGGACAAUGGGCGAAAGCCUGAUCCAGCCAUGCCGCGUGAGUGAUGAAGGCCUUAGGGUUGUAAAGCUCUUUUACUCGGGAAGAUAAUGACGGUACCGAGAGAAUAAGCCCCGGCUAACUUCGUGCCAGCAGCCGC
rnacentral:rRNA from 1 species